AUUGAACGCUGGCGGCAGGCCUAACACAUGCAAGUCGAACGAGUGGCGGACGGGUGAGUAAUGUCUGGGAAACUGCCCGAUGGAGGGGGAUAACUACUGGAAACGGUAGCUAAUACCGCAUACCAUCGGAUGUGCCCAGAUGGGAUUAGCUUGUAGGUGAGGUAACGGCUCACCUAGGCGACGAUCCCUAGCUGGUCUGAGAGGAUGACCAGCCACACUGGAACGGAGACACGGUCCAGAAUCCUACGGGAGGCAGCAGUGGGGAAUAUUGAGCAGUGGGCACAAUCCUAAUGCAGCCAUGCCGCGUGUGUGAAGAAGGCCUUCGGGUUGUAAAGUACUUUCAGCUGAGAGGCGUUACCCGCAGAAGAAGCCCAGGCUAACUCCGUGCCAGCAGCCGCGGUAGUAC
rnacentral:rRNA from 1 species